CUGCAGAUGAUGAUAUAUUAUGUAUUUUGGGCUGAUUAACCAUGAAGCUCCAAAAUCGAGCUUUUUAAAACUGAUGCUUU
rfam:Daucus carota subsp. sativus cultivar DH1 chromosome 3, whole genome shotgun sequence.